rnacentral:rRNA from 1 species
AAGCUCGUAGUUGAAUUUCGGGAUCAGUAGGUUGGUCAUGCCUAUGGUAUGCACUGGCUUUACUGGUUCCUCCUUGAUGAUCUGUAAUGUCAUUAAUUUGGUGUUGCAGGGAGUCAGGACUGUUACUUUGAAAUAAUUAGAGUGUUUAAAGCAGGCAUACGCUUGAAUACAUUAACAUGGAAUAAUGAAAUAGGACGUUCGAUCCUAUUUUGUUGGUUCUAGGUUGACGUAAUGAUUAAUAGGGAUAGUUGGG